AUUGAACGCUGGCGGCAGGCCUAACACAUGCAAGUCGAGCGAGCGGCGGACGGGUGAGUAAUGUAUGGGAAUCUGCCUGAUAGAGGGGGAUAACUACUGGAAACGGUAGCUAAUACCGCAUACCAUCGGAUGUACCCAUAUGGGAUUAGCUAGUGGGUGGGGUAAAGGCUCACCUAGGCGACGAUCCCUAGCUGGUCUGAGAGGAUGAUCAGCCACACUGGAACUGAGACACGGUCCAGACUCCUACGGGAGGCAGCAGUGGGGAAUAUUGCACAAUGGGCGCAAGCCUGAUGCAGCCAUGCCGCGUGUGUGAAGAAGGCCUUCGGGUUGUAAAGCACUUUCAGCGGGGAGGCGUUACUCGCAGAAGAAGCACCGGCUAACUCCGUGCCAGCAGCCGCGGUAAUUC
rnacentral:rRNA from 1 species